GUAAUGUUAACUGGAAGAAAAACUAAGUCCAUUUAUAAGUAAAAUAUAGGGAAAAAUGGAUUUUUUUUUUACAAAAUUUACUUCUGGAUACUAUCUUAUGAUUAGAAACAUUUUUUUUUUAAUUUUUUUAUUUAUUUUUUCAAUAGUCAGGAUUUAACAUCACCCUUACAUACCACCUGACUAAGGUGUUACAGGGUUUCAAAUAUAUAACAACAAAAGACUAUUGUUUUAUCAAGAUUUACACAAACUAAAAUAUAAAUUUUUUGAAAAUCUUUUUUUUUUUCACUCUCCUUUCACACUCUCUCUCCUUCUUUCUCACUCUCUCUUUCUCUCUUUUUUCACAAUCUCUUCAUAUAGAAAUAUCUAUAGAUUAUUUUAAAAUAGAAGAAAAAAAAAGAAGGUUUACAUGUGCUAUGCAUAUAUUACAUGUUGUUUGCUCCGUUCCAUAAAUAGGUCAAAAAGAUAUAUAUAUUGAUAUAAAUUUGGUUGUUAGAUUACCAUUCAGGAUAAAUAAUUAGCAUAGGGGCCCAAAGUUUUUCAAGUUCAAAAACUUUGUUGUAUUUUCUUGCUGUAUAUAACUCUAAGUUAUAAAAGUUUCUCAGUCUAUUUUUUAAUUCAAUUGCAUUUGGAAGCAUGCGUCUGUCCAAGUUUGGUACAAAUCAAGGAUAGUUAAGGGAAGUUAUUAAUAUUUAAAAAAACUUUAACCACAAAGUGAAUGUAAUGUUUCCUGGCAGAAAAAAAAAACUAAGUCCAUUCAUAAGUAAAAUACAGAAAAAUUGGAAUUUAAUUUUUACAAAAUUUACUUCUGGAUACUAUCUUAAGAUCAUAAACAAGCUUCUGUCCAGGUUUUGUACAAAUCCAGGAUAGUUUUAAGAAAGUUGUUAAAAUUUUAAAAACUUUAACCAGAGUGAAUAUUAUGGUUCCUGGCAGA
rnacentral:lncRNA from 1 species